rnacentral:rRNA from 1 species
CAUAUCAAUAAGCGGAGGAAAAGAAACUAACAAGGAUUCCCCUAGUAACGGCGAGUGAACCGGGAAGAGCUCAAAUUUGAAAUCUGGCGUGCUCAGUGCGUCCGAGUUGUAAUCUAUAGAGUCGUUUUCCGUGCCGGACUGUGUCCAAGUCCCUUGGAACAGGGUAUCAAAGAGGGUGAUAAUCCCGUACUUGACACAAUGACCGGUGCUCUGUGAUACGUCUUCUACGAGUCGAGUUGUUUGGGAAUGCAGCUCAAAAUGGGUGGUGAGUUCCAUCUAAAGCUAAAUAUUGGCGAGAGACCGAUAGCGAACAAGUACCGUGAGGGAAAGAUGAAAAGCACUUUGGAAAGAGAGUUAAACAGUACGUGAAAUUGUUAAAAGGGAAACGAUUGAAGUCAGUCGUGACUGAGAGGCUCAGCCGGUUCUGCCGGUGUAUUCCCCUCAGUCGGGUCAACAUCAGUUUUGUUCGGUGGAUAAGGGCAGUUGGAAGGUGGCACCCUCGGGUGUGUUAUAGCCAGCUGUCGCAUACAUCGGAUGAGACUGAGGAAUGCAGCUCGCCUUUAUGGCCGGGGUUCGCCCACGUUCGAGCUUAGGAUGUUGACAUAAUGGCUUUAAACGAC